GUGUGUCUGAAAAACAAUGAAUAUACCUUAAUUUAAAAAAUAUUGCUGAAAAAUGCUAUCAUCUGACAAUGCAGGGUUGUCACAAACCCUCAAUUAGUUUUAAAAAAAGCACUAUCUGCCUAGACUUUCUAUACUCUAUUGCCCUUCCUCCAGAUACUGCAUUUUUAAAUAAAGGUUGAAGCAACCCGUGUUGACCGUAAGCACCAUUUUCCAACAGCAUUUGCUCACUUUACUAAAUAAUUUUUCUUCCAGGCAUAUUAAAUUGGCAUAAAGCAUUGUGUAAGUUUGAUUUAAGAUCCCCUUAAUGGAUCACAGCCUUGUUAUGUUAAAGAGGCUUGUGUAAACAAUGGAAUGAUCUUGGUUCGUUUCCAAGACAAACCAUUCAGCAUCACAGUAAUAAAGUCUAUGCCUCAACUACUAAUGCUGAAGAAGCUGAAGAUGACUGGUUCUAUGAAGACCUUAUAAGACCUUCUAGAACUAACACCAAAUAUGUCCUUUUCAUCUUAGGGGAUUGGAAUGUAAAAGUAGGAAGUUGAGAUACCUAAAGUAACAGGCAGUUUUGGCUUUGAAGUACAAAAUGAACAGGGCAAAGGCUAACAGUUUUGUCAAGAGAACACACUGGUCAUAGAAAACACCCUUUUCCAACAACACAAACGACAACUAUAUAUGGACAUCACCAGAUGGUCAAUACAGAAAUCGAAUUGAUUUUAUUCUUUGCAGCCGAAUGGAGAAGCUCUGUACUGUCAGCAAAAACAAGAAUGGGAGCUCACUAUGGUUCAGAUCGUGAGCUUCUUAUUGCAAAAUUCAGGCUUAAAUUGAAAUUUUAAUUUCCUAGUGGGAAAACCACUAGGCCAUUUAGAUAUGACCUAAAUCAAAUCCUUUAUGAUUAUACAGUGGAGGUGAUGAAUAGAUUUGAAGGAUUAGAUCUGGUAGACAGAGUGCCUGAAGAAUUAUGGACGGAGGUUUGGAACUUUGUACAGAAGGGAGUAACCAAAACUAUCCCAAAAAAAGAAGUGCAAGAAAGCAAUGGUUGCCUGAGGAUGUUUUACAAUUAGAUGAGAAAAGAGAAGAAAAAGCAAUGGAGAAAGGGAAAUAUACCCAACUGAAUGCAGAGUUCCAGACAAUAGCAAGGAGAGAUAAGAAAGCCUUCUUAAGUGAACAAUACAAAAAAGUAGAGGAAAACAAUAGAAUGGGAAAUACAGCUAUCUCAAGAAAAUUGGGGAUAUCAACAUUUCAUGCAAGGAUGGGCACAAAAAAGGACAGAAAUUAUAAGGACCUAACAGAAACAAAAAGAGGUGGCAAGAAUACAUACAAGAACCACACACAAAAAAGCUUUUAAUGACCCAGAUAACCAUGAUGGUGUGAUCACUUACCUAGAGCCAGACCUCUUGGAGUGUGAUAUCAAGUGGGCCUUAAGCGUUACUACAAACAAAGCUAGUGGAGGUGAUGGGAUUCCAGGUGAGCUAUUUAAAAUCCUAAAGAUGAUGCUAUUAAAGUGCUGCAUUCAGUAUGUCAGCAAAUUUGGAAAACUCAGCAGUGACCACAGGACUGGAAAAGGUCAGUUUUCAUUCCAGUCCCUAAGAAAGGCAAUACCAACAAAUGGUCAAACUACCAUAAAAUUGCACUUUUUCACAUGCUAGCAAGGUAAUGCUCAAAAUUCUUCAGGCUAGGCUUCAGCAGUACAUGAACCCAGAACUUCGAGAAGUACAAGCUGGAUUUAGAAAAAGCAGAGGAACCAGAGAUCAAAUGACCAACAUUCAUUGGAUCAUAGAGAAGGCAAGAGAAUUCCAGCAAAACAUCUAUUUCUGCUUCAUUGACUAUGCUAAAGCCUUAGACUGUGUGUAUCACAAAAAACCUUGGAAAAUUCUUAAAGAGAUGGGAAUACCAGACCACCUUACCUGUAUCCUGAGAUACCUGUAUGCAGGUCAAGAAGCAACAGUUAGAACCGACGUGGAACAACGAACUGUUUCCAAAUUAGGAAAGGAGUAUGUCAAGGCUGUAUAUUGUCACCUUGCUUUAUUUAACUUAUAUGCAGAGUAUAUCAUGUGAAAUGCUGGGCUGGAUGAAUCAUAAGCUAGAAUCAAGACUGCUAGGAGAAAUAUCAACAACCUUAGAUAUGCAGAUGAUACCACUGUAAUUGCAGAAAGGGAAGAGGAACUAAAGAGCUUUCUUGAUGAGGGUGAAAGAGGAAAGAGAAAGAGCUGACUUAAAACUCAACAUUCAAAAAAGUAAGAACAUGGUGUCUAGUCCCAUCACUUCAUGGCAAAGAGAAGGGAAGUGGAAACAGUGACAGAUUUUAUUUUCUUGGGCUCCAAAAUCACUGCUGAUGGUGACUGCAGCCAUGAAGUUAAAAGAUGCUUGCUCCUUGGAAGGAAAGCUAUGACAAACCUAGAUAGUGUAUUAAAAAGCAGAGACAUCACUUGCAAGCAAAGGUCCAUAUAGUCAAAGCUAUGGUUUUUCAAUAGUCAAUAUGGAUGUGAGAAUUGGACCAUAAAGAAGGCUGAGCACCAAAGAAUUGAUGCAUUUGAACUUUGGUGCUUGAAGAAGACUCUCAAACAGGAAGGAAAUCAAACCAGCCAAUCCUUAAGGAAAUCAAUCCUGAAUAUUCAUUGGAAGGGAGGAUGCUGAAGCUCCAAUACUUUGGCCAACUGAUGCGAAGAGCUGACUCAUUGGAAAAGACCCUGAUGCUGGGAGAGAUUGAGGACGGAGGAAAAGGGGGCGACAGUGGAUGCAAUGGUUGGAUAGCAUCACAGACUCAAUGGAAAUGGGUUUGAGCAAACUCUGUAAGACAGUGAAGGACAGAGAAGUCCAGUGGGUGCAGUCCAUGAGAUUGCAAAGAGGCGGACACCACUGAGAACUGAACAAGUUUCAGAUCUAGAACCUAUGUAGUGACUGGGCUCUGUGCUUUCACUGCUGAGGGCCCAGAUUCGAUCCCUGGUUGGAGAACUAAGAUCUUAUAAGCUGCAUGGCAUGGCCAAAAAAGAUGUAGAGCAUAAUGAUUUUACCUAAAUACAUCAUGAAAUGAUUACCACAAUAAGUUUAUUGAACACCUAUCAUCUCAUACAGUACAAAAUUAAACAAAAAAUUUUUUUUUCCUUGGGAUGAGGACUCAGGAUUUACUCUAACAACUUUCAUAUAUAACAUGCAGCAGUGUUGAUUAUAUUUAUCAUGUUGCACAUGUCAUCCCUCGUAUUUAUCUUAUAACUGGAAAUUGUACCUUUUGAUUGCCUUCAUCCAAUUCCCCCUUCCCCUAAUCCCACCACUGCCUCAAAUCUGAUCUCGUUUUUCCUAUGAGUUAGUUGAUUUGUUUUUGAAACAUGUUUAACCUCCAUCACUGUGUUAGUUCCUGGC
ensembl:lncRNA